CUCACCCCCCACCCAUGGACCAUUAAUCUGGCCCGGCUUCCGACUUUCCCGGCCACCCUUUUUCCCCACCUCCUGGCUCCCAGGCAACAGCCUAGACCCGCCCCCACCACCUUCAUUAUUAUUCCAGUCCCGCCCCCGACCUGCCCAGUCCACCCUCUGGCCCCGCCUCCGAUUGGCCGGGCCAACUUUCUGGACACACCCCCUGACUUCCUCCCACGCCUUGUUGCGUCAGUAUCCGGCCCCGCCCCUGGCUUCCCGAGCCAGGGUUCUGGCUCAGCUACCCGCUUCCCCGCCAACGCUCUGGCCGCGCCCCUGGCUCAGGCAAAACUUUCUGGCUCCACCCCCAGCAUUCCCGCCAGCAUCCUGGCCCCGCCCCCGGGCUCUCACUACUUUUGGCCCCGCCCCCCCUUGGCGUCAGGCUCUGGGUCCGCCCCCGACGUCCCGGCCAACAAUCCGGACCCACUUCCAGCUCAGGCAAAACUUUCUAGCCCAGCCCACAGCGCUUCCGCUCCGCGUCCGGCCCCGCCCCACAGCUGUCCGAGCAACACUUUGGCCCCGCCCACAGCCCAGACACAACUUUUCGGCCCCGCCCCCAGCGGCCGGUCCAGGCUCCGGCACCGCCCCGCCCCUGGCCCGCCUCGGCCAUGCCCACCCCCGCAACCGCCCGCCCCGCCAGCGCCCCGAAAUGGGCGUCCUGUCCCCGCCCCCCGCAGAGUACUCCGACCCCGCCCCCGCCGGCGGCUCCUCACCCCGCCCGCUCCAACUGGCGCUCCCCGCCACGUGGGGCUUCAAGCCCCGCCUUCCUGGGCGCGCUCCCGGCCCCCUCCCUCCGGUCACCUGUCCCGGAGACCCCGCGGCGUCCGCGACUUCGGCUCCGUCGGCCUCUGCGUCCGCAGCUCCCGGGCCGCGAGCGUCACUUCCUGCCCGCACCACGUGAGGAAGGGAAAUAAAGAGGGUCACUUCCGGUCCUAUGGGACCGUUUCCGGGAGCUUUAAAGGGGCCGCGCCUCCGUGGUGGAGGCGGGAGCGGGGCCACCUGACUCCCACGGGUGUUCUGGAAGCUCAUCCAACCUCCUUCCUGAAUUACCAACACCCAGGAAAAGGAGACACCGUCCUCACUCCCUGGCCUCUACCUCUUUGUUCAAGCUAUUUCCGCCUCCAGCCCCUUAUUUCUCUCAGUAGAAAGAAAUAUAUGUAUAUAUAUUGA
rnacentral:lncRNA from 13 species